rnacentral:rRNA from 1 species
GAUGAACGCUGGCGGCGUGCCUAAUACAUGCAAGUCGAGCGAACAGACGAGGAGCUUGCUCCUCUGACGUUAGCGGCGGACGGGUGAGUAACACGUGGAUAACCUACCUAUAAGACUGGGAUAAUUUCGGGAAACCGGAGCUAAUACCGGAUAAUAUAUUGAACCGCAUGGUUCAAUAGUGAAAGACGGUUUUGCUGUCACUUAUAGAUGGAUCCGCGCCGCAUUAGCUAGUUGGUAAGGUAAAGGCUUACCAAGGCAACGAUGCGUAGCCGACCUGAGAGGAUGAUCAGGUACGCGGGAACUAAGGCAGGAUCCUGACUACUACGGCAGGAAGCAGUCGGGAACCGACCGCAAUGGACGAAAGCCUGACGGAGCAACGCCGCGGGAGUGAUGAAGGUCUUCGGAUCGUAAGACUCUGUUAUCCGGGAAGAACAAAGGUGGAAGUAACUAUGCACGUUUUGACGGUACAUAAACAGGAAGACACGGCCAACUCCGUG